AGCAGUGUGGCCUAAUGGAAAGAGUAUGAGACUGGGAGUCACAGAUCCUGGGUUCUAAUCCCAGCUCUGCUA
rnacentral:tRNA from 1 species